UUUCUACUCCCUCCGUCCCAAAAUUCUUGUCUUGAAUUCGUCUAGGUACGGAUGUAUCUAAUGCUAAAAUGUAACUUAAUACAUCUGUAUUUAGAUAAAUUUAAGACAAGAAUUUAGGGACGGAGGGAGUACUUC
rfam:Triticum aestivum genome assembly, contig: Triticum_aestivum_CS42_TGACv1_scaffold_471419_6AL